rnacentral:lncRNA from 1 species
CUGUGAUAUUGCAAAAGAAGAAAGGCUGGAAAUGGGGAAUCAAAGAAAGAACGUGGUAAUGGACAGUCAUACCUCUGAGCAGAUUCCCCGUCUCCCAAUCCCUUUCGAAGCCUAUCACACAUUAUUAUGUCGGAAAGUUGUAUUGUUAUAUUGGAAAGUUAAAAUACAUAACAAUAGGUUAAUGAUUUGGAAUAGCGCAACAAUGGUAUCCUAAUAUAGGUAAGUUUUUCUCGCUGAGCAGGGCUCUCUCUAAGGAGAAAAACUUUAUUGCAAUGGAAAUAAAUUUUUUUGUUAUGCCCGAUUAAUAACACGCCAAAUAACUUUUCUAAUUAUAAUUGCAUUAUUA